rnacentral:rRNA from 1 species
GAUGAACGCUGGCGGCGUGCCUAAUACAUGCAAGUCGAGCGAACAGACGAGAAGCUUGCUUCUCCGACGUUAGCGGCGGACGGGUGAGUAACACGUAGAUAACCUACCUAUAAGACUGGGAUAACUUCGGGAAACCGGAGCUAAUACCGGAUGAUAUUUUGAACCGCAUGGUUCAAUAGUGAAAGACGGUCUUGCUAUCACUUAUAGAUGGAUCCGCGCUGCAUUAGCUAGUUGGUAAGGUAACGGCUUACCAAGGCAACGAUACGUAGCCGACCUGAGAGGGUGAUCGGCCACACUGGAACUGAGACACGGUCCAGACUCCUACGGGAGGCAGCAGUAGGGAAUCUUCCGCAAUGGGCGAAAGCCUGACGGAGCAACGCCGCGUGAGUGAUGAAGGUCUUCGGAUCGUAAAACUCUGUUAUUAGGGAAGAACAUAUGUGUAAGUAACUGUGCACAUCUUGACGGUACCUAAUCAGAAAGCCACGGCUAACUACGUG